rnacentral:rRNA from 1 species
UACGGGGGGAGCAAGCGUUGUUCGGAUUUACUGGGCGUAAAGGGCGCGUAGGCGGCCUCCGCAAGUCAGUUGUGAAAUCUCCGAGCUUAACUCGGAAAGGUCAACUGAUACUGCGGGGCUAGAGUGCGGAAGGGGCAACUGGAAUUCUUGGUGUAGCGGUGAAAUGCGUAGAUAUCAAGAGGAACACCUGAGGUGAAGACGGGUUGCUGGGCUGACACUGACGCUGAGGCGCGAAAGCUAGGGUAGCAAACGGG